AUGGACAGAUGGUUCAUACUGAUUCUUAUUGUGGGAACAGGUUUGGUGACUGGAGACAGCAUUGAGCCAGAUAAAGGGACAGAAAAAAACUCUAAAGAAACAGAAACUGUCAAGCUGAGCUGCUCAAGAUCUGGAUUUAGAUGAUACUUGAGUCUUAAAGCAGGAAAAAUGACACACUGGAUAAAACAAACUAUUAUUGUUUUCAUUUAUGUCUGGCGAAUAGAAUCACAGGACAGCGUUGAGCAGAAAACAAGAGUUCAGACUGCUUAUGAAGGUGGAACUGUAAUAAUCAACUGUACAUAUCAAACUUCGUACUCUACGACUCUCUUUUGGUAUCAGCAAAAAGUAAACAGAGUCCCCAAAUAUAUGCUGAACAGAGUUGGUAAGACUGGAGAUGAAGACAAAGAGUUCAAAGACCGAUUUAAUGCACAUAUCGACACAUCUUCAAAAUCAGUUCCACUGACAAUCCAGAAUCUGCGAGUGUCUGACUCUGCUGUGUACUACUGUGCUCUGAGGCCCACAGUGACUGAAACACACUCAACACUCACACAAGAACCUUCAUCAUUCAGUCAGUUCUGACGAUUGUAGCUUUUUCUAA